rnacentral:tRNA from 1 species
AGGGAUGUAGCUCAGGGUAGAGCACUUGCCUAGCAUACAGGAGAUCCUGGGUUCAAACCCCAGUACACCAG